rnacentral:lncRNA from 1 species
UCUUCGUCGUCGUCGUGAACCCCUUAUCGACGGACGCGGAGGGAAAACAAACGGGGGGAAGCUUUCCAACCCAAAAAACAAAGGGCAGGUCGUCAUCUCCCACUUGACCUAUCUGGCAUUAAACUGAGAUUGCUCCUCUACAGAAGGUCAACGGUGAAUGGAACAAAUCUAUGAGAUGAGACGCCGUCGUAUUUAACACGUACCUUUAGAAAUCCCUAACGGAUGCUCACGUACUCUACGGGAGCUGGAUCUUCUUCAUCCAGCGACGAGAUUUCCGGGGCAACGCUGCUCUUAUUCCUCGGAGCUCGCCCUGGUAUACUCCGGAGGCGACGCCAUGCACC